GUCAGGAACCCCCUAGCGAAAGCUAGAGGCUUACGCAAGUAAGCCUGGACUUGACCAGACUCAGCCCUGGGCUUUCUCCCUUGUGGAGAAGGUCAUCGAGCUACGAUAGAUGAGAAGUGUUUGUGUUCCUACCUACAGGUGCGUGCCAGCCUGUAGCUCUAGAAUCCCUGGGUUAAACAGGUGUACGAGGUGAAGCCAGUGCUCAGGGAAAAGUACCGCUCUCUAUCUUUGUCGAGGCAACCAUUAC
rfam:Ktedonobacter racemifer DSM 44963 strain SOSP1-21 Krac_Contig202, whole genome shotgun sequence.